UGAGGAACAUGACCUUCGGCGGGGGAUAGCCGGCCCAACGGCCGGGUAAUACCGCGUACGACCACUUUGGGACAUCCCUAGGUGGUGAAAGCAGCAAUGCGCCGAUGGAGUGCCUCGCGGCCUAUCAGCUAGUUGGUGAGGUAACGGCUCACCAAAGCAACGAUGCGUAGCCGACCUGAGAGGGUGAUCGGCCANAUUGGAACUGAGACACGGUCCAGACCUCCGUACGGGAGCAG
rnacentral:rRNA from 1 species